AUUGAACGCUGGCGGCAGGCCUAACACAUGCAAGUCGAACGGUAACAGGAAGAAGCUUGCUUCUUUGCUGACGAGUGGCGGACGGGUGAGUAAUGUCUGGGAAACUGCCUGAUGGAGGGGGAUAACUACUGGAAACGGUAGCUAAUACCGCAUAACGUCGCAAGACCAAAGAGGGGGACCUUCGGGCCUCUUGCCAUCGGAUGUGCCCAGAUGGGAUUAGCUAGUUGGUGGGGUAACGGCUCACCUAGGCGACGAUCCCUAGCUGGUCUGAGAGGAUGACCAGCCACACUGGAACUGAGACACGGUCCAGACUCCUACGGGAGGCAGCAGUGGGGAAUAUUGCACAAUGGGCGCAAGCCUGAUGCAGCCAUGCCGCGUGUAUGAAGAAGGCCUUCGGGUUGUAAAGUACUUUCAGCGGGGAGGAAGGGAGUAAAGUUAAUACCUUUGCUCAUUGACGUUACCCGCAGAAGAAGCACCGGCUAACUCCGUG
rnacentral:rRNA from 1 species